rnacentral:tRNA from 1 species
GGGCCCGUGGUCUAGUUGGUUAUGACAUCGCCUUGACGUGGCGGGAAUCACCGGUUCGAAUCCGGUCGGGCCCA